rnacentral:rRNA from 1 species
UCAGUUAUGGUUCCAUUGAUGGUACACCCAGUUACUUGGAUAACUGUGGUAAUUCUAGAGCUAAUACAUGCAAACAGAGCCCCGACCAUUCUUUGGAAGGGGUGCUUUUAUUAGAUCAAAACCAAUCAGGCUGUAAAGGCUUGUUAGUCUUGGUGACUCUGAAUAACUUUGUGCUGAUCGCAUGGUCUUGUACCGGCGACGCAUCUUUCAAAUGUCUGACUUAUCACACUUUCGAUGGUAGGCUCUGCGCCUACUAUGGUUGUAACGGGUAACGGGGAAUCAGGGUUCGAUUCCGGAGAGGGAGCCUGAGAAA